AUUGAACGCUGGCGGCAGGCUUAACACAUGCAAGUCGAGCGGAGAUGAGGUGCUUGCACCUUAUCUUAGCGGCGGACGGGUGAGUAAUGCUUAGGAAUCUGCCUAUUAGUGGGGGACAACAUUCCGAAAGGAAUGCUAAUACCGCAUACGUCCUACGGGAGAAAGCAGGGGAUCUUCGGACCUUGCGCUAAUAGAUGAGCCUAAGUCGGAUUAGCUAGUUGGUGGGGUAAAGGCCUACCAAGGCGACGAUCUGUAGCGGGUCUGAGAGGAUGAGCCGCGACACGGGGACUGAGACACGGCCCAGACUCCUACGGGUGGCGGCAGUGGGGAAUAUUGGACAAUGGGGGAAACCCUGAUCCAGCCAUGCCGCGUGUGUGAAGAAGGCCUUAUGGUUGUGAAGCACUUUAAGCGAGGAGGAGGCUACUGAGACUAAUACUCUUGGAUAGUGGACGUUACUCGCAGAAUAAGCACCGGCUAACUCUGUGCCAGCCGCCGCAGUAA
rnacentral:rRNA from 1 species